rnacentral:misc_RNA from 1 species
AAGUCGUAACAAGGUUUCCGUAGGUGGAACCUGCGGAAGGAAUACAUUAUUGGAAGUUGCUGAGGGGUUUGUUGCCUGGCCCUCCGGGGUAGUACUGUGCACGACCUCUCUCACUUUAUCAACCACCUGUGCACCUUUUGUAGUCUUUCAGAUGCUUUCUUCAGUCUUUCUUCAAGACUUGAUGUAGGGACUCUAGCUGUUAUGCAUGUCCGCAUGUGUACGGCUUCAGUUCAAUACCUGAUAAGACUAUCUUUUACAUAUAACUCUGUCAAUGUCUAAGAAUGUGUAUCAUGGUCAUUCAUUUGGCCUUAAUUAAAUACAA